CUGUCGAACCACCUCGCCGGCCAUGCCGUGGGAGGAUAAGGCCUCCACCGAGGCGCCCCUCCCCCCAGAUAUCUUCUUCACACUCGCCUCACUCCUCCUCGGCGCCCUCCCUCCCAGAUCCAUCUUCUCUCUCUCCCUCAUCGUCCUCUCGGCUCACCCGAGCGCCUACGUCGCCGUCGUUGGCCACCACCGCGGCGACCGUCUCCCCCGUGCCUCUCCAACCUGUCCGUCUGCACCAACGUCAUCGACUGCGUCCUCCCCGUCCACAAGAUCGAGCUCGGACCCCCUCGACCAUGGGGAUCGGGUUCUUCCCCGCACCUACGGCCGCCGACGAGCUCCGUCCGCUGCGACCGUCCUGCUACUACUAAUUCGUCGCUGGCCCUUCGUGUGCCACACCAGACGGGAGACGAGUUCGCUAAUGAGGAGCUCGUUGAGUUUGCUUUUGAGGAUCCAGUCA